rnacentral:lncRNA from 1 species
AUUAGACGCUGGUCGAUAGCGAUUCGAGACUCCCGCCGCCAUGGAUCGCAAGCUGCUACUGACGUUCGCCCUUCUGCUUGUGGCCCUCGUCUGCAGCGCCGCUGCCGAGGAAACCAAACCUGCCGGGGGCAUAAAGACGACUUACAACAUCUGCUGGCUGGGCAACUGGGCGUGCGACUGCUACUGCAACUUGUUCGGCCAGCCGGGCUUCCAGGUGGGGCAGUGUGUCGCCGGGGACUGCCUCUGCACUUCUGGAUAGCGAACCAGUGACUGAAACUGCGCUUCGACACCACAGGUUUACCUACACACAGGCUCCGUGCAUCAUCAGGCGGUAGACAUAACGACUUGAGAGCUACAGUGGACCAAACACCAUAUAAACGUUGUCAUUGAUGUAUGUCAUGUAUCGAAAAUAAAUCUGCAACUGUUCUGUAAGAUCUAA